AAUAAUCCUUUAUUUCAGACAGUAAAGUAAAUUUCAUUUUUAGGGUUCCUUCUUGCAUAUUUUAUUCCUGUCUGUGUGCCACUUAUUGGCAAAAGGCCUCCUCCAGCCUUCUCCAUUCCUCUCUAUCCUUGGCAACUCUUGUCCAUACCGGUCGGCUUUGAUGCCGUCCACCCAUCUUCUAAAUGGUCUACCUCUUUUCCUUUUCUUAUGUCUUGUGAACCAGUUCAUUAUCGAUUUCGACCAUUUUUCUUUGCCUCUAAUUUUAUGUGCUGACCAUUUCCAUUUUAACUUUUUUAUUGUUUUUGUGACAUCUUUUGUUUUGGUGAGCUUCUUUAUGGAUUCUAUUCGUAUUUUCUCCGAUAGUCUUUUCCCCAGCAUACUUCUUUCCAUGGAGUUUUGGCAAGUUUCUAGCUUUCUCAUGUGUGUUUUAGUGAGUGGCCAGGUUUGGAAGCUAUAAGUGAGUACAGGAAGUAUGCUGGUAUCAAAGAGUUUCCGCUUGAUAGUUACAUUGAUAUCAUUAUUUUUCAUUAUUUUCUUAAGGCUCCAAUAUGUUUUCCAAGCAUUUCCAAUAUGUCUAUCUAUUUCUUUUGAGGUUAGAUCUACCGGAGA